AGGAGUGUUUCAAGUACGAUGGUUAUUUAAUUAAUUUUAUUGCUGGUCUGGUCAAUUUUAUUGGUGUCUAAAAAAAGCAAUGAGAGGAUCCCCACCAAUCUUAAUACUUUCCUGGCUAAUUAGAUUAGUUUGAAUCUUGAAUGAACGUAGCUUAGUGUUUUAAACACUACUAUGGGCCUUCCUUUAUGCUAGGUUAAUGUUAUAUCAUGA
rnacentral:lncRNA from 1 species